rnacentral:tRNA from 1 species
GUAGCUCAGUAGUAGAACAUCUGCUAUGCAUGCAGAAGGUCCCAGGGGUUCAAUCCCCAGCCA